CUUCCAGUAGCACCUUAAAGACCAACUAAGUUUAUUAUUGGUAUGAGUUUUUGUACCAAUAACAAACUUACUUGGUCUCUAAGGUGCUACUGGAAG